GCAGUUGUGGUUUUGUGGUAGAAUUCUUACCCUCCACACAGGAGACCUGGGUUCGAAUCCCAGCUAAUGCG
rnacentral:tRNA from 1 species